rnacentral:rRNA from 1 species
CCUACGGGAGGGCAGCAGUGAGGAAUUUUCUGCAAUGGGCGAAAGCCUGACAGAGCAAUACCGCGUGAGGGAUGAAGGCCUACGGGUUGUAAACCUCUUUUCUCAAGGAGGAAGAACUGACGUUACUUGAGGAAUAAGCAUCGGCUAACCCUGUGCCAGCAGCCGCGGUAAUACAGGGGAUGCAAGUGUUAUCCGGAAUUAUUGGGCGUAAAGCGUCUGCAGGUUGAUAUUUAAGUCUUUUGUUAAACCUCCAGGCUUAACCUGGAAUCUGCAAAGGAAACUAUUUAUCUUGAGUAUGGUAGAGGUAAAGGGAAUUUCCAGUGGAGCGGUGAAAUGCGUAGAUAUUGGAAAGAACACCGACAGCGAAGGCACUUUACUGGGCCAUUACUGACACUCAGAGACGAAAGCUAGGGGAGCAAACAGGAUUAGAUACCCUGGUAGUCCUAGCUGUAAACGAUGGAUACUAGAUGUUGUUUAUUUUUAAAAUAAAGANAGUAGUCGUAGUACUAACGUACGUUAAGUUAUACCGUCCGUCGGUAAGGUAGUAGUCGUCGCGAAGAGUAGAAACGUUAAAAGGUAAAGUUAGUAACGGUACGUGUUAGAGUAGCCGAACGGACGACGACGAGGGAGGUUAGGAG